UACGUAGGGGGCAAGCGUUGUCCGGAAUCAUUGGGCGUAAAGAGCGUGUAGGCGGCCUGGUAAGUCCGCUGUGAAAGUCCAGGGCUCAACCCUGGGAUGCCGGUGGAUACUGUCGGGCUCGAGUCCGGAAGAGGAGUGUGGAAUCCCCUGGUGUAGCGGUGAAAUGCGCAGAUAUCAGGAGGAACACCAAUGGCGAAGGCAGCACUCUGG
rnacentral:rRNA from 1 species